AUUGAACGCUGGCGGCAUGCCUUACACAUGCAAGUCGAACGGCAGCAUGGAGAGCUUGCUCUCUGAUGGCGAGUGGCGAACGGGUGAGUAAAGCAUCGGAACGUACCGUGUAGUGGGGGAUAACGUAGCGAAAGUUACGCUAAUACCGCAUACGCACUGAGGUGGAAAGCAGGGGAUCGCAAGACCUUGCGCUAUACGAGCGGCCGAUGUCAGAUUAGCUAGUUGGUAGGGUAAAGGCCUACCAAGGCGACGAUCUGUAGCGGGUUUGAGAGGAUGAUACGCAACACUGGGACUGAGACACGGCCCAGACUCCUACGGGAGGCAGCAGUGGGGAAUUUUGGACAAUGGGGGCAACCCUGAUCCAGCCAUGCCGCGUGAGUGAAGAAGGCCUUCGGGUUGUAAAGCUCUUUCGGCCGGGAAGAAAUCGCACAGGCUAAUACUCUGUGUGGAUGACGGUACCGGCAUAAGAAGCACCGGCUAACUACGUGCCAGCAGCAGCCGCGG
rnacentral:rRNA from 1 species